rnacentral:rRNA from 1 species
AGUGAACGCUGGCGGUAGGCCUAACACAUGCAAGUCGAACGGCAGCACAGUAAGAGCUUGCUCUUACGGGUGGCGAGUGGCGGACGGGUGAGGAAUACAUCGGAAUCUACUUUUUCGUGGGGGAUAACGUAGGGAAACUUACGCUAAUACCGCAUACGACCUACGGGUGAAAGCAGGGGAUCUUCGGACCUUGCGCGAUUGAAUGAGCCGAUGUCGGAUUAGCUAGUUGGCGGGGUAAAGGCCCACCAAGGCGACGAUCCGUAGCUGGUGUGAGAGGAUGGUCGGCCGCACUGGAACUGAGACGCGGUCCAGACUCCUACGGGAGGCAGCAGUGGGGAAUAUUGGACAAUGGGCGCAAGCCUGAUCCAGCCAUACCGCGUGGGUGAAGAAGGCCUUCGGGUUGUAAAGACCUUUUGUUGGGAAAGAAAAGCAGCAGGUUAAUACCACGCUGUUCUGACGGUACCCAAAGAAUAAGCACCGGCUAACUUCGUG